UACGGGGGGGGGCAAGCGUUGUUCGGAAUUACUGGGCGUAAAGGGUUCGUAGGUGGCUUGUUAAGUCAGACGUGAAAUCCCUCGGCUCAACCGGGGAACUGCGUCUGAGACUGAUGAGCUCGAGUGCAGGAGAGGAACGCGGAAUUCCAGGUGUAGCGGUGAAAUGCGUAGAUAUCUGGAGGAACACCGGUGGCGAAGGCGGGUCUCUGGGCCGUAACUGACGCUGAGGAGCGAAAGCAUGGGGAGCGAACAGG
rnacentral:rRNA from 1 species